CAGCCGCCGCGGGAAUACGUAGGUGGCGAGCGUUGUCCGGAAUUAUUGGGCGUAAAGGGAGCGCAGGCGGACAUAUAAGUCCAUCUUAAAAGUGCGGGGCUCAACCCCGUGAGGGGAUGGAAACUGGGAAGCUCAGAGUAUCGGAGAGGAAAGCGGAAUUCCUAGUGUAGCGGUGAAAUGCGUAGAUAUUAGGAGGAACACCAGUGGCGAAAGCGGCUUUCUGGACGAAAACUGACGCUGAGGCGCGAAAGCCAGGGGAGCGAACGGGAUUAGAUACCCCAGUAGUCCCUGUCUCUUAUAC
rnacentral:rRNA from 1 species